GACGAACGCUGGCGGCGUGCUUAACACAUGCAAGUCGAACGGAAAGGCCCUGCUUUUGUGGGGUGCUCGAGUGGCGAACGGGUUAGUAACACGUGAGUAACCUGCCCUUGACUUUGGGAUAACUUCAGGAAACUGGGGCUAAUACCGGAUAGGAGCUCCUGCUGCAUGGCGGGGGUUGGAAAGUUUCGGCGGUUGGGGAUGGACUCGCGGCUUAUCAGCUUGUUGGUGGGGUAGUGGCUUACCAAGGCUUUGACGGGUAGCCGGCCUGAGAGGGUGACCGGCCACAUUGGGACUGAGGUACGGCCCAGACUCCUACGGGAGGCAGCAGUGGGGAAUAUUGCACAAUGGGCGGAAGCCUGAUGCAGCAACGCCGCGUGCGGGAUGACGGCCUUCGGGUUGUAGACCGCUUUCGCCUGUGACGAAGCGUGAGUGACGGUAAUGGGUAAAGAAGCACCGGCUAACUACGUG
rnacentral:rRNA from 1 species